UACCAACUCCAAGGUGCGUGUUGACACUUGCAUAGCGAGCUGUGCCGGUCAGAUUCUUGUUUUCCCUGAGAAAAAAUAUUGACAUAAUACCAUGUAAAAGGCAGCUAAGACACAUAUUUCUCACAAAUUGAACAAAUCAAAGAAUAUUAAGACACAAAAUUGACCAGUGUAAAGUCUUUUCUUAAUAUUUUCCUUUUUUCUCUGUCAUUAGGAACAUAGUAAGAAAACAAGGAUAAGAUUGUCACAAUUUACUAGGAACUCGUUACAUUAGAGCUUGAUAAUAUUAAAGAGUAGAAUUUUUUUCUCAAAUGUCUUAAUGUCAGUCAGCUCAAACAAAUUCAUAUUGUGAUCAACAAAAUGAUACAGCAAGGACACCAAAUAUAAGCAGUUAAGCACCAAAUACCAGCGACUGAUAUAUUAAUUGGCAAUAUUAAUGUACAUUAAAAGAGGACACAGUUCCAUAAACUUGAAAAUACGAGUUUGCCUUCCACAAUCUCCCUUCCAAGGAUCAAUUGAGACAUUAAUGUCAUAAGCACCAUAUAGUGAUUGAUACUUAAGUUACUGGUAAUAUGUUAAAACCAUCUAAGUAAAUGCAAAUCAAUACCAUAAUCCAUUGUCAUUUGGCUAUUCCACUCAUUAAAAUUACCCUGAUGAUAAAUUUAAAGCAAUAUUUUUUAAUUCUUUUCUGUUUUACAUUCUAAGUUUGGACUCAACUAACCAGCUUCCAAUCUCACUCAGGAAAAAACUGGUCAAAAUUUUCCCUAAAAAGUAAGAUAAGACCUUUUCUGGAUUAAAGAAGGUACAAAUACAGAGGCAAGAAAAACCAAUGGGAAUGUGUCGAACUACAAAACAUCUUACAUAGCAUGCUUCCCAAAAUUUUCGUGAAAAGACUGUCCACAUUUCAUAAGUGAUCAAAUAACAAGUAUCAAUAUCAAUCUAUCAUGUAUUCUCCGUAUGUGAUCAAAAACAAGUAUCAAUAUCAAUCUAUCAUGUAUUCUCCGUAUGUGAUCAAAAACAAGUAUCAAUAUCAAUCUAUCAUGUAUUCUCCGUAUGUGAUCAAAAACAAGUAUCAAUAUCAAUCUAUCAUGUAUUCUCCGUAUGUGAUCAAAAACAAGUAUCAAUAUCAAUCUAUCAUGUAUUCUCCGUAUGUGAUCAAAAACAAGUAUCAAUAUCAAUCUAUCAUGUAUUCUCCGUAUGUGAUCAAAAACAAGUAUCAAUAUCAAUCUAACAUGUAUUUUCCAUUCAGUGAUGCAUACACGAGUCAACAGAUUGUCCAGUGAGUGUAUGUUUUCAU
rnacentral:lncRNA from 1 species